AGAGUUUGAUCCUGGCUCAGAUUGAACGCUAGCGGCAUGCUUAACACAUGCAAGUCGAACGGCAGCACGAGGAGCUUGCUCCUUGGUGGCGAGUGGCGGACGGGUGAGUAACGCGUAGGAAUCUACCUUAUAGUGGGGGACAACUCGAGGAAACUCGAGCUAAUACCGCAUAAUCUCUUAGGAGCAAAGCAGGGGACUUUCGGGCCUUGUGCUAUUAGAUGAGCCUGCGUCAGAUUAGCUUGUUGGUGGGGUAAAGGCCUACCAAGGCGACGAUCUGUAGCUGGUCUGAGAGGAUGAUCAGCCACACUGGGACUGAGACACGGCCCAGACUCCUACGGGAGGCAGCAGUGGGGAAUAUUGGACAAUGGGCGCAAGCCUGAUCCAGCAAUGUCGCGUGUGUGAAGAAGGCCUUCGGGUUGUAAAGCACUUUCGGUGGGGAAGAAAAGCCUAAGGCUAAUAACCUUGAGCCAUGACAUUACCUGCAGAAGAAGC
rnacentral:rRNA from 1 species